rnacentral:tRNA from 1 species
ACUGAAAAUUUUACUGUGCGACUCAGUAUGAUUUGAUUAAUCUAAUAAUUACUUGAUUUAUUUGUAU